GGUUUUCUCACGUGGGUUCUUCUUUGAGGGCUCUCUGGCUUCCCUACUGAGCUGUAGCUGCCAAAGUUGAAGGGCUGCGUCUCCCUUGCGUCUCCCCAGUCUUUACAGCUCCUGAAACACACUAAGGAGAUGAGAUUUUUUUUCAUCCUAGGUUCUGAGUUCUCUGUUGCUGUGGGACCCGAAAAAAAGCCAGCCAGUAACUAUGAGCUUCUAUUUCCUCACUUAAAAACCAUAGAAAACCAUCCGAGAAGAGGACGAGUGAAGUGCCUGGCAAGAGCC
rnacentral:lncRNA from 1 species